GUUGUGGAGUUUCUUGAAAGUAAACUGCACUGCUUGCUGCAUAGAGUUUCAGGGCAAAAUCAAAUCACUGGAUUCAGAUAAUUCAAACACCCUGCGCUGUCCGAAGUAACCAAUAUAGUGUCCAUUUGGUGCGUGACAGAGCCUAGAGGUGCAGAAGGAGAGAUGGAAAAGCCACUACAAAGAGUCAGGAGAACUGUGACUGAGAAGCGUAGAAGAUCUGUGUCAAACAACAGAUGAACAUCUGGAAAAAAACCAUUUGUUUUCCUGGCAUUGGGUUUCAGACAUAGAGACAAGACUGGAUUCCCUUGCAGAAUAAGUGACACAGCCUCAGGGAGCUCCCAUGUAACAGUCAGAUGAGGUUCACCUUCAUUACCCUAGUAAAAUGACCCAUUUAACCAAAGACAAAAACACAAAUGUGACAUUAUCUGAUUAAAAUAUGACCAUGCAAACCAUUGUUGCUACCAUGGUUGUAUAAUUGCAACGGAUCUUAUUCGGAGUGUAACACAUGGCCAGAAAGGGUUAAGCAGCUUGCUGGCUAAAUGACCCAAGCUUUAAAGUCAUGUUAGGAAAGUAUGCGAAUGGUAAGUAGGGCCUCUCCCUAUGAGAUAGGCUGGAACUUUGAAGUGAAAACCUGUAUUGUUAGAGAAUUAGAGGUGAUACUUAUUGUAUGUGUUUACGUGGCUAAUUAUUAAACAAGAUAUAAGUAAA